rnacentral:rRNA from 1 species
AUUGAACGCUGGCGGCGUGCUUAACACAUGCAAGUCGAUCGGUAACGCGGGGGCAACCCUGGCGACGAGAGGCGGACGGGUGAGGAACGCUUGGGAAUCUGCCUAUCAGCGGGGGACAACCCGGGGAAACUCGGGCUAAUACCGCAUACGCUCGACGGAGGAAAGCCGGGGACCGCAAGGCCUGGCACUGAUAGAUGAGCCCAAGUCGGAUUAGCUAGUUGGCGGGGUAACGGCCCACCAAGGCGACGAUCCGUAGCUGGUCUGAGAGGACGAUCAGCCACACUGGGACUGAGACACGGCCCAGACUCCUACGGGAGGCAGCAGUGGGGAAUAUUGGACAAUGGGGGAAACCCUGAUCCAGCGACGCCGCGUGGGUGAAGAAGGCCUGCGGGUUGUAAAGCCCUUUCGGUAGGGAAGAAAUCGCACAGGCUAAUACCCUGUGUGGAUGACGGUACCGGCAUAAGAAGCACCGGCUAACUACGUGCCAGCAGCCGCGGUAACAC